AAAACGCAUGUAACUCGCGAUGAGCAUCAGGAAAUGUACACUGGGAAGUGGCUGAAUGAGUACGAAAUGCUGAAUCUUUCAGGAAAUAGAGGAUUUUGUGCCUCUAUUAUGUCUUGUGGAAGUCAAGAAACCUCGUAUCUGCCAUUCUAAACCACGUACAACGACAUGUCAUGACUUGCAUGCAAACCGAUACUCGUGGGAAGAAAUUUGACACCGCACGGACCACGCGGUGAAGUCGCCAGGCAUCACGGGCACCGUGCAGUCUGCAACAGCGUGCCGGGAGUUGGAGCUCGCGCCCCCACAACACACAUCGCUUUUGACUGGUGGUUAUACCGUCGCCUUGGAGUCGAGUUUUGAGAAUGAGAGCAAUACGGCUGUAUGGAGAUGCUUUGAGUGUCAUCCGGGGACUGUCGUUCCUUCUGAUGAUGAUGAUGCAGACUUCUACAAGGAAUCUACAAUGCCUGAAUCUACAAGAUGACAUGAUGAAGGACACUAUGAAGAAAAGAACUAUGACCAGCCUUUAAAAAAUUAAUUCAAAAAUAACCCUUUUAUAUAAUUGAAAUAUAUUUUUAACUUGUUCCUAUUGUAAUCAUAAUAAAGACCUUUAUAAAUUAAAAUAAAAUGUAAAUUUUAACAAACAUCUUGGGUCUAGCCUCUUCAAACGCUGGCAUUGGAGUUAAUUUAAAGAUUGUAGUAAGAGUCUAAUAUUAAAUUCCAGUGAUUUACUAAUAAACAAUUGAUUUGUUAAUUAUUUGCGAAUUCUGAGGGUAGGAGAUUCAUGAACUAUGCCCAAAAAGGCAAAAUACUCAAACAGGAGAGAGUUUGAAACUGAAAAUUGCAAUGAUGGACAAGGUUUGGCUUAAUGUAAAGAAGGGGAAAAUGGCAAAUUUUACUUUAAAAAUGGUAGCAAUUAAAAUAAAAAGCUUAUAAUCUAAUAAUUACUAUUUGUACUUCUCAAUUGGAAUGGAUUAUCUUGUGAUUUAAAAGACCCCAGCUGCAAUAAACAAGAUUCUCACGGAACUGGUUAA